AUACGGAGGAUGCGAGCGUUAUCCGGAUUUAUUGGGUUUAAAGGGAGCGUAGGCGGGAGCUUAAGUCAGCGGUUAAAUGGUGCGGCUCAACCGUGCCCUGCCGUUGAAACUGGGUUUCUUGAGAGUGCAAGAGGCGGAUGGAAUUCAUGGGGUAGCGGUGGAAUGCUUAGAUAUCAUGAAGAACUCCGAUUGCGAAGGCAGUCCGCUGGGGCACGUCUGACGCUGAUGCUCGAAGGUGCGGGAAUCAAACAGGAUUAGAUACCCUGGUAGUCCGCACGGUAAACGAUGAUUACCCGCUGUCGGCGGUAGACAGUCGGCGGCCAAGCGAAAGCGAUAAGUAAUCCACCUGGGGAGUACGCCGGCAACGGUGAAACUUAAAGGAAUUGACGGGG
rnacentral:rRNA from 1 species